rnacentral:rRNA from 1 species
UACGAAGGGGGCGAGCGUUGUUCGGAUUUACUGGGCGUAAAGCGCACGUAGGCGGAUUGUUAAGUGAGGGGUGAAAUCCCAGGGCUCAACCCUGGAACUGCCUUUCAUACUGGCAAUCUCGAGUCCGGAAGAGGUGAGUGGAACUCCUAGUGUAGAGGUGGAAUUCGUAGAUAUUAGGAAGAACACCAGUGGCGAAGGCGGCUCACUGGUCCGGUACUGACGCUGAGGUGCGAAAGCGUGGGGAGCAAACAGG